rnacentral:rRNA from 1 species
UACGUAGGGUGCGAGCGUUGUCCGGAAUUAUUGGGCGUAAAGGGCUCGUAGGCGGUUUGUCGCGUCGGGAGUGAAAACACUGGGCUUAACUCAGUGCUUGCUUCCGAUACGGGCAGACUAGAGGUAUGCAGGGGAGAACGGAAUUCCUGGUGUAGCGGUGAAAUGCGCAGAUAUCAGGAGGAACACCGGUGGCGAAGGCGGGAUCCUGGGCCAGUACGUGACGCUGAGGAGCGAAAGCGUGGGGAGCAAACAGGG